CCCAACCCCGUCCUUCUCCUCUCCACAGCCUCCUGCCCUCCUCCUCUAUAUAACCCGCCCCUCUCCUUCCUCCUCAUCCUCAACACAGCAUACAAUAGUUCACUGCAAACCAAAAGAAGAAAUCACAAACAAUCCGGUCCAAUUCUCAGCAAGAAAGAAGAGAUCGAUCCAAUGGCGGGUGCAGCGAAGGCGUCUUGGAUGGUGGCGAUGAGCGUGGGCGCAGUGGAGGCGCUCAAGGACCAGGGCGGACUCUGCCGCUGGAACUACGCGCUGCGGUCCNUCCACAAGGCGGCCAAGGCCAACGCGCCGGCGUCUCGCAGGGCAAGAAGCUGCCUGCUCCGCGGCGGCGUACGGAGAGAGAGAGCGGAGAAGGCCGAGGAGGGUUGAGGACGGUCAUGUACAUCAGCUGCUGGAGCACCAAUUAGUAUAGCUCUGUCUACUAUAGCUAGCUAAUAGUAGUAGGAUAGAGCGGGUUUGGAAGGGGAAGCAUGGCUGAGACUUGCCGGUUGCUUGUUGAAUUCCUCCUGAUUGUAUAUACCACGAAGAUGAUGAUGAUGAAAACUUCUGUUACUUGAGUA